rnacentral:rRNA from 1 species
ACAUGAAGCUGGAAUCGCUAGUAAUCGCGAAUCAGAAUGUCGCGGUGAAUACGUUCCCGGGUCUUGUACACACCGCCCGUCACACCAUGGGAGUCGGAAAUGCCCGAAGUCAGUGACCCAACCACAACGUGAACUUCGCUCGCGUGGAGGGAGCUGCCGAAGGUGGAGCCGGUAACUGGGGUGAAGUCGUAACAAGGUACC